GACGAACGCUGGCGGCGUGCUUAACACAUGCAAGUCGAACGGAAAGGCCCUGCUUUUGUGGGGUGCUCGAGUGGCGAACGGGUGAGUAACACGUGAGUAACCUGCCCUUGACUUUGGGAUAACUUCAGGAAACUGGGGCUAAUACCGGAUAGGAGCUCCUGCUGCAUGGUGGUGGUUGGAAAGUUUCGGCGGUUGGGGAUGGACUCGCGGCUUAUCAGCUUGUUGGUGGGGUAGUGGCUUACCAAGGCUUUGACGGGUAGCCGUCCUGAGAGGGUGACCGGCAACAUUGGGACUGAGAUACGGACCAGACUCCUACGGGAGGCAGAAGUGGGGAAUAUUGCACAAUGGGAGGAAGCCAGAUGCAGCAACGCCGCGUGCGGGAUGACGGCCUUCGGGUUGUAAACCGAUUUCGCCUGUGACGAAGCGUGAGUGACGGUAAUGGGUAAAGAAGCACCGGCUAACUACGUG
rnacentral:rRNA from 1 species